AGAGUUUGAUUAUGGCUCAGGAUGAACGCCAGCUACAGGCUUAACACAUGCAAGUCGAGGGGCAGCAUGGUCUUAGCUUGCUAAGGCUGAUGGCGACCGGCGCACGGGUGAGUAACGCGUAUCCAACCUUCCCCUUAGUAGGGCAUAGCCCGGCGAAAGUCGGAUUAACACCCUAUGUUUUCCGUUGCGGGCAUCUAAUAUGGAACAAAGAUUUAUCGCUAAGGGAUGGGGAUGCGUCUGAUUAGGUAGUAGGCGGGGUAACGGCCCACCUAGCCUUCGAUCAGUAGGGGUUCUGAGAGGAAGGUCCCCCACAUUGGAACUGAGACACGGUCCAAACUCCUACGGGAGGCAGCAGUGAGGAAUAUUGGUCAAUGGCCGAGAGGCUGAACCAGCCAAGUAGCGUGCCAGGACGACGGCCCUAUGGGUUGUAAACUGCUUUUAUGCGGGGAUAAAGUCGCCCACGUGUGGGUGUUUGCAGGUACCGCAUGAAUAAGGACCGGCUAAUUCCGUGCCAGCAGCCGC
rnacentral:rRNA from 1 species